rnacentral:tRNA from 3 species
AGGGAAGUAGUUCAAUGGUAGAGCGUCGGUUUCCAAAACCGAAAGUUGCAGGUUCGAGUCCUGUCUUCCCUGCCA